AUGCAGUAGGGAAUCUUCCGCAAUGGACGAAAGUCUGACGGAGCAACGCCGCGUGAACGAUGAAGGCCUUCGGGUCGUAAAGUUCUGUUGUUAGGGAAGAACAAGUACCAGAGUAACUGCUGGUACCUUGACGGUACCUAACCAGAAAGCCACGGCUAACUACGUGCCAGCAGCCGCGGUAAUACGUAGGUGGCAAGCGUUGUCCGGAAUUAUUGGGCGUAAAGCGCGCGCAGGUGGUUUCUUAAGUCUGAUGUGAAAGCCCACGGCUCAACCGUGGAGGGUCAUUGGAAACUGGGGAACUUGAGUGCAGAAGAGGAAAGUGGAAUUCCAAGUGUAGCGGUGAAAUGCGUAGAGAUUUGGAGGAACACCAGUGGCGAAGGCGACUUUCUGGUCUGUAACUGACACUGAGGCGCGAAAGCGUGGGGAGCGAACAGGAUUAGAUACCCUGGUAGUCCACGCCGUAAACGAUGAGUGCUAAGUGUUAGAGGGCUUCCACCCUUUAGUGCUGUAGCUAACGCAUUAAGCACUCCGCCUGGGGAGUACGGUCGCAAGACUGAAACUCAAAGGAAUUGACGGAAUC
rnacentral:rRNA from 1 species